ACUUUUGGAAUAAUCAGUUAUUUGACAAUUAAUGUAAACAGUUAACCCUAGAGGAUGUUAGGUUUGUAACUUUAAUAGUCCCUGUUUAUUGGGUCAUUUGAAACUGUGUUUGGUUCCAAAGAAAGAUAGAGGAAAGAAAGUGAGGGAAGGGAAAGAGGAUGGAAAGGGGAAUCUUCCAUCGUUUGGAACAAAUGAAAAUGAAAAAGGAAAAGAAAGAUAUUGAUGGGUCCCACAGUAAAAUGGUUUCCGCUCAUAAAUGGGAGGAAAGGUAGAGUGAACCAUAUUUUUUGUUAAGAGGACAAAAGAGGCCUCAUGUUAAAAACUUUUUUUUUCCUACCAUUGCCACUAGUAGUACCACAUGUGCUGGUACUGUUGAUUAUAUAUACCAACAGAAUUUUGUUUUUAUUUUUAUUUGUCAAAAAACUCAAUUAUUUAGUUCUUGGUAUAUAAAAUGAUAUUAGUUAAUAAUAUAUCUUAUUUAGAAUUUUAAAUAUUAUACAAAUAAAUGCAUAAGUAAUAUCUCAUUUUCAUACAAAGGUAGUUAUGUCAAUUACUAAAUACAUCUUUUUCAUUUCUCUCACUUUCUAUUCACUUUCUCUAAUACCAAACAACCAAAUAAUCAUCUCACUUUCCACUAACUUUCUACUCAUUUUCAUUUCUUUGACAUUCUUUCUUUCUUUUCACUUUCUUUUUUCAACCCAACAAAGGCUUAAUGUCUGGUGCAUUUAGUUGCAGAAUGCAGAUGCUAUACAUCCACUGAUAUGAGUAAUAUAUUGUGUCAAGUCAAGUACAUGUAGAAGGACAUCAAAUAAGCCUCAGGGGCAUUGGUUUAUUAACGAGAAAAUUAAAGUGUACUAUAUUAUGAUAAUUUUCUAAUCGAUGUUUUGUGGUUCUCUGAUUGCUGUUGCUAUUGUUAUAUUAAUUAAUUUAAUUUAAUAUGGUUUUAUUUGAUUUAAUGCGUUCUAUUUUAUUUUUU
rnacentral:lncRNA from 1 species